CGGCGGGCCAGGCGCCCCCCAUGAACGCCUGGGCGCCCCUGAAGAGCAGCCGCCGGGUCCUCUCUGCCGGCGGGAGAGGGGGCGUGAGGCACAGUGCUGUUGAUAAAGAAGCGUAUGAAGUUCACAUCGGUCGUUCUGAGACAGCAGGUAUGGCAAGAACAUUUUUGCAUCAAUUAGCAAUGUUUUAAUGUUUUUUUACUUCAUAAAACUAUUGUUCUCACAGGUUAGCUAACUAAAGAUGACUCACCAUAAAUCUCCAGUGGUAAAGGUGGAUCCCUGCUCAGUUUGUAAACGGGAAAUUGUGACAAAGUUUACAGAGUAUGUAAAAAAAAGGCCAAACAGCCAGAAUCUGUAGAUUUAAAGAAAAUAUCCAUUCAUUCAUUAACGCCGCUAGUUACUUUUUUAAAUGCAUGAAAUACUGAACCAGGUUUUUGUAUUAAGUGUAUUGUGUUAAAAAAGAGAAAUAGAAACCAAGCACUGUUACUUUAAAUUGGUUUUAAUAUGCCUUUCAGGACAAAAUAAACAGGUGUGGAUCCAAAAUUCAUCUGAAAAAAAUCUGCAUAAGGUGUAAGUAUAGUUUGCACAUUACUAUGGAAAUGCUUUUCUUUCCUUUUAGAAAGUGCAUUAUGCCAGAACUGUAAGACCUUAUAUAGCCAUAUAAGCCAAAUUAAAAAUUACAAACGCUUAAAAAUCCGAUACUGCAUGUGUUAGGAAGCAUAUACCUGACUAUGAAGGCCAUAUUGUAAGGGUAAGUGUGAGAAAACGUCAAACACAUUAAUGUGCAUGAGUGAAUCAGUAAUUGCUACUUUUAAAAAACUAUAAUCUUUACCACAAAUUAUGCCAUUUUGGUAGAUGUUUACUCUUAUCCUUCCAUCCAGAUAUCUAACAGGAUGAUGCAUCAACCAGUUUUAGUCAUUAUUAUUGCAUUUGGCUGGGAAGAAAGAAGAAAUUAAAUUCAACACAGUGAUUGUUAUUAAAAUGAAAUUUCACACAAUACAAAAUAAUACACAUGGGAAACAGCCAAAAUGAAAGUAAAUCUACAUAAAAAUGUUCUUUUUAAGUAUUGUGUCAGUAGAUUAAAGAGCUUUUUGAUAAAAGCCUGAACUUAGUCACAUGUGAUUCAAUGAUAACACAUAUGAAAAUCAAUAGGAGCAGAACUUCAAUUUAAAAAAAUCCACGCUAUGAAAUUAAAUGAACGAUAUUGUUUUUAUGGUAACAGAGUAAGUCACAGGAUAAUUGCCUAUUACAUCAUGCCCACUGACAACAUCACUGGGUUUUUGAUGAAUCCCUGAAUGCAAAGACAGUCAAUAUGGAUCUAAUAGAGACUUAAUGGAAAAAUUACUUGAUGGAAAAUAAAAAGAUUAGGUGAACAAGAGAAA